UCCCAGCAGCAGCUGCGGCGCCUCUUGUCUUCUUCAUCUCUUUUUGCAGUCUCUCUUUCGCUUCCGGAAACAUGGCCUCUGGUGUGGCUGUCUCUGAUGGUGUCAUCAAGGUAUUCAAUGACAUGAAGGUGUGCAAGUCCUCAACACCAGAGGAAGUGAAGAAGUGCAAGAAGGCGGUGCUUUUUUGCCUGAGUGAGGACAAGAAGAACAUCAUCCUGGGGGAGGGCAAGGAGAUUCUGGUGGGGGAUGUGGGCCAGACUGUGGACGACCCCUAUGCUACCUUUGUCAAGAUGCUGCCAGACAAGGACUGUCACUAUGCCCUCUAUGAUGCAACCUAUGAGACCAAGGAGAGCAAGAAGGAAGAUCUGGUGUUUAUCUUUUGGGCCCCUGAGUGUGCACCCCUUAAGAGCAAAAUGAUCUAUGCCAGUUCCAAGGAUGCCAUCAAA